GAAGUUCGCCAGGCAGUCGCUGUGCACCUUCGGGUGUGUGGAGGAAAGUCCGGGCCCCGCAGAGCAGGAUGAGGCGACGGAAAGUGCAACAGAGAGCAGACCGCCGAUGGCUUUCGCAAGAAAGAUCAGGUAAGGGUGAAAGGGUGGGGUAAGAGCCCACCGCAGGACUGGCAACAGGACUGGCACGGUAAACCCCAUCCGGGGCAAGGCCAAAUAGGGGAGUAAUGGCGUGGCUCGCGUCGCUCCCGGGUAGGCUGCUAGAGCUUCACGGUAACGUGUCGCCCAGAGGAAUGACUGCCCGAUGAUCCGGUUUGCGCUGGAUCGUUCGACAGAACCCGGCUUAUCGGCGAACUUCCCAA
rnacentral:RNase_P_RNA from 1 species